AUGACUGCACCACUGUACUCAGCCUGGGUGACAGAGUGAGACCUUCUUUUUUUUUAAAAAAAAAAAAAGAGUGUCUCGGUACCACUGUACUACAGUGUCUGCUGCCUACCAUUGUUGUUUCGCAGCUGUUCAUGUCAGUGUUGUUUGCCUCAAAUUCUGCAAGCCCUUACUUCACUUGCUGUCUUCUGCUUCUCCUCCCCUCUUCUAGGCUGUCACACACUGGAGUCACUAUGGUUCUCUUUUUAUGUUCUCCAUCAGCACUCUCAACUUACCUUGCUAAAAUGCCUUUUCUCUCAACACCACUUACCCUGCCCACCCCAUGACUCCUACCUGUUUAUUUUGUCAUUUUCCUGCGACUCUUGAAUAUUUUUAAGCACAGUGUAAGAGACUCGAAAUUAGGGAAUGUGUCUGCCAGACACUCACUUGAGUGUUUCUAAUAUUUGGAGCUACUUUUUGGUUUAUGUAAUCAGCCCAUAUGGAUAACCUUAGUUUUGGGGCUGUGACUCUGAAAGGGGCUGAUGUGGCUCAGGAAUGAGCUGGUGUGGCCCAGGAAUGAGCUGGUGUCAUGGGUGAAGUCUUUUGGGUAUUUGCAUCUCUGAAGGUGGCAUCAGCCUUAGACCUCCUAGCAUCAAUGUUGAUGUGAUGUGGAGUAAAUGUGAGAUGAUGCUGUGCUAUCUGGGGUUUCUUGCAGUGCCUUGUUAACCAAUGCAUAAGUCGCUGAAAACUCCGUAAGUGUCCAUCACUACCUACCACAGAAACUGAGGGAAGAGUGAUCUUGGGAUGACCUUGCAUUAAGAGAAAAAUGAAAUCAAGUUUGCCCUCUGUAUGUAUAUCCCACUGUAUGCAACAUCAACAUGCGCUGUCCAGAAAGUCAUCAUAGAAUUGUUUUGCCCAAAGUUUAUUUUACCCACUUUUAGGAAAAAAGCUGUUAUGUAAAGCCUUAGUUGUUUGUAAUGUUCUUCAUUUUGUGGCAGAAGUCCCAAAUGUACUUCAAGUUUUCUGUCCUUGGAUUGGGAAAUAGAAGUCAUGUAUGAAAGGAAAGGAGAUAGCAGGCAGUCUUUGAGAUGAUCUAUUUCAGGACCAGUCUGCAGCUUUUCCAAGUUAAGAGUUCUGAAUAGGUUGUUAGGCUGGAGAUUAUGAUAGACGACCCCAGUUCUGACUGCAUCAUUGCCCAGACAGACCCAGUAUCUUUCACCAUUUUAUUCUUGACCAAAUGGCAUUCAUUUCCCAGUGUCUCAGUCUCCCUUAAAGGAAAAAGAACAAUAGCAGGCAUCCAUAGAGUGCUGUGAUGUAUCACUCUUGGUAAAAUGGAAAUGUAUGAUUGGAGUGUGUUUCAAGCCAGGCUUUUCUACAGUUCGCUUGUUCUGCUUUUCACUCCUGAUUUUUUGAGGUUUUGAUCUUGAGACAUUUUCUCUUCAGUGCCUCAGUUAUUACUAUGGAAUAACAUAGUAAGUGAAGAGGACUAACUUCUCUGCUGGGCUGUGGCUCUUCUAGUAAUUCUGCCACUCCUGGGUCAUUGCCUGAGGUGAGGAAGCCAGGUUAUCUUCUUGAGGCUCGUCACACCUUGGUGUCCGGAUGUGCCCUAGGACUGCAGUGGAGAGGUGAGCACAGAGUAAGGAAAACAUGUGGCACAUGUGUAGGGAGCAAGGCUGGAAUAAGAAGUAAACUCUCCCCCAAACAGACAAACAGCAUACAUUAGCUUCAUUCUGGGGUGAACCUGUAGUGAAUCCAAGAGAGAUGUGUUGGGCAGUUUUCAGUAUGUGUUAGGGUAUUCCUUUGAAGACCAUUAGGGGGUGGGGGGCAGGUAGAAGAAUCUACGUCACAUUUUCCCUUAUGUAUUUUUAUCUUAAAUUUUUAAAUUUUUUAUUUGAGACAAGGCCUCGCUCUAUCACCCAGGCUGGAGUGCAGUGGCACAAUCAUAGGUCUCUACAGCUCCAAACUCCUGACUCACUCUGUAGAGAGCUAUGAUCCUUCUGCCUCAGCCACCCCAGUAGCUGGGACUACUAAUGAGCGCCACCACAUCCAGCUAAUUUUAUGAUUUUUUUGUAGAGAUAUGAGGUCACUUUGUUGCCCAGGCUGAUCUCAAACCCCUGGGCUCAAGUGGUCCUCCUGCUUUGGCUUCCCAAAGUGCUGGGAUUACAAAUGUAAGCCACUAUACCCAGGCUUUCUUAUAUUUUAGAUGUCUAGUGAAGUUAAUAAAGGUAGCCCUUGAAGCUAUUGAGAGUUUACUCAGAGCCAGCAGAGGGAGUACACAAGUCUUAAAGCUGAUUGCAAGUAUUUUUUUCUCUCCACUCUGCUAAAAUAAUACCUUGAUUUUUUUUUUUUAAAAAGAACUCUGAAUAGUGUUUCCAUGUAAGUUUAUUGUCAUUAUCAGAAAAGGAUAGUUUGGCAGAGCAUGUGUGGAGAUUAAAAACUUAAAGCAAGUGUUUUAAAGGAAAUCUUGGUCUUCUAAGACCCAUGGUUUACUUCGCAUUCCUAGAUCAUUAAAUGGGAGUGCUUUUAGCUGAAAAAUAUCCUCCCCUGCCUUUCAUCUUUUUGCUACUCAAUUCUUGAUACCGUAUGUUCAUUUAUACCUAUGACCAAAUUUUUAUGGAGAAGUCAAGUGUCUGGAUCAGUGGGAUGUUCUGUGUUUUAGUGCUAUUUUGAUUAAGACUUUUGAUAUUUUCCAAAGCUUCACAGUUCCUCAUGGGUGAGAGAAAUGUAUGUGUGUACAUUUCUCUCAGGUAAGAGAGAAAUGUAAGGUAAAAGUAAGAGCAACAUUAUUUCCAACUCAAAAAUGAGUAUUCAUGGAUCUACAGGAGACUACCAUAACUUUGAACUUCUUGUAAUUCUGCAAUGCUAUAAUUUGUCCCCUCCCUCCUCUAUGCCCAUAUUUUGGUGGUGGGGGUUUAUUUUUUACAUGGCGGUUGGAGUGGGUUGAAUAGUGUUUCUCUAAAAUUCAUGUCUUCCUGGAACUUCAGAAUGGUGACCUUAUUGGGAAAUAGGAUCUUUCCAGAAGUAAAGUGAAGUCAUAUCGGCUUAGGGCAGGUCCUAAAUCCAAUGACUGGUGUGUAUAAGAAGAUGAGAAAAUACACAGAGACCCAAAUAAGGCCGUGGGAAGUUGGAGACAAAGAUUAGAGUGAUGCAGUUAUAAGCCAAAGAACACCAAGGAUUGCCAGGAGCUGCCAGAAGCUGGAAGGGGCAAGAAAAUAUCCUCCGUUAGAACCUUCUCAGGGAGCAUGGCUUUGCCAACAUCUUGAUUUUGGACCUCUAGCCUCCAGAACUGAGAGAGAGUGAACUUUUGUUGUUUUAAGCCCUUAAAUUUGUGAUAAUUCGAUAUGGCAGUCCCAAGAAACUAGCCUAACAGCCUCGGGAUAGAAGAGUGGGAAUGGCAGAGUUGCAGAUGGAGAAGAAUAAAAAGACUUUAUUUAGAUUCAGAUUAAAGUGUUAAUAAUCAUUUAUAGGCUACUUUCUUGUCAAUUACAUUUCUUCUUUUUUUAUUCUGCAGCAAGGACAGAGGGAGGCAUGAAUUUUCCUUGAUUUCCCAGUUAGAGCUACUAGAACAUGUCCCUCUCUCACAUGUGUCCUUCCCCCUAGUCCCUUCCUUACUGAAUUUUUUUUUCUGCCUAUUUUGUGAACUGACAGUAUGGCUGUGCUUGUUGAUUGUGGACUUGAGGUUUACAGUAAGUCGGUGAAGUCUGGCCGAGGGCUUUGGUCUAGUUGAGUCAGUCUUUGAGGGGAGGGGAGGGGAAGGAGAAACCAAGGAUCCUCGGUGGGAGAAUAAUGUGGAAGAAGAAGGCUCCUUUUGGCCAUGUCAAGGCUUGAGCAGAUAGCUGCAUACCAUGUUCACUGCCAUUGGUGAUGGUGGUAAGGCUAAUCCAGAUCUCUCUGGAGUCCUAUCAGUGUGUCCUAUGCUUGGUUCAAACCUUUCAAAGUCUCACACGCUUGGUACUUCAGGCUCACUUCCCCUCUGUUUUAUAUUUACAUCCGAAAAACCAGCUCUUCUGAUGAAGCACAGAACAUAGAGUGGUUGUCCUCAUAGGAGCAGCAGCAGCAGCAGUAGCCGUAGAUAUCUGGUAGGUACCCAGUAGGUGUUUGGCUCAAAAUGUUUAGACAUUUAAGAAUCAGUUACAUCUGUUUGUUUUCAUAUUUUAAAAUCGUAUUUUUGGAGAGGGGUGUCCGGGUUAGGUUAGAGAUACAGUUUGUUUUUCAUGAUUAAAAGGAGUCUACACAAAACAUUUUCUGGCUUAUUUAUAAUAGUAAUGACAAUAAUAAUAGCCAUGAUUUAUUGAGCCCUUACUAUGUGCCAUUUGCUUAACUACAUUUUUUUACGUUUAGUAUUGAUCCUGUAGUUUAAAGAGAAGGAAAUGGUUCAUGAAGGUUAAAGUAACUUGCUUGGGAUCCAAACCCAGGGCUCUCUGACUUGGGAGCUUCUGACUUUCCUAGUAUGCUUUCCUGUCUUUUGGAGUGUGUGUGGGACUUUGGGUGGGGUACAGCAAGAAAUUAAAGAGCUGUCCUUUAAAAAGUUUCUACUCUGUGCCGCAUUCUUCAUCUCUGUCCCCAGGAAUCCCCACCUUAAUUAAUGCUUUUGAGUUCGUCUUGAAUGAUCAUUUUCAGAGUCGUGCCGACUCUGAGUAACAGCAUCUCUCUGUGUGCUGGUGGGAAGUAGACUUGGCUUCAUGAUUUAGGCUUCUUUCCUUGAUUUUUGUAUGAGCUAAAUAACUUUUAAGAAUUAGCAUAUACCUGGGUCUUUAAUGGGAGAGUAGGAAUGGCUUGAGAAUUCUGUGAGAAACCUGUUGGUUUGGUGAGUCUGCAUUUCUCUUCGGUCACUACCAGGUGUGACCAUGGUUUACUAUGGGUCAGAUGCACAGAAUACUAUUUAUAAUAAUAGAGUGACGCAUGGUAGGUAGAAAUCUUUUGGGAUGGGCCCUUAUCGCAGAAGUUUCUAUGUUGGGACAGUAGGAUAUCUGUGCUUUUAUAGGCUUCAAGCAGAUAGAUGAAUGCAGACAGCAACAUCAAGAAAAGCAGAUUUUAGGAAAAAAAAAACACAUUUACAAGGAGUUCUUGGCAGAAGUUUUGCUGCUGAAUCAGAACUCAUAAUUAAUGAUAUUAAAAAUAUUGUGUGAGGUGGUCGUCUCUUUGCAGUGCAGUUACUAACAGUUUUAAAGGCAGGCUGCCAAGACAGAAACAGAAAAUGUUGCAUAAUGCAAGUUGCUGGCCAGGUUAGUGUUUAUCUCUACUGAAGAGCCUACUGCUUUUGUCUUCAAGGUAAAAAUAUGUAUGAGUAAGUCCUAAGAUGGUGGUUUUAAUUGGCCACAGGAAGGCAGUACCUAUGUGCCCUAAGAUAAAAUGUAGCUAACAGAAUGCUAAUAUUUCCAUAUUAUUCUGUUUAUGUUGGAAAAAAAUUACAGAACUCUCAGUUUCGUAGUAGAGAAGGGUAAGUAGUGUCUGGAUAAUGUCCGAAGGAUAAACUGAAACUCGUAUGAUAAACGUGAGCAGGCAGAACGGUGCUACCUGAUAACCGCGUAUAACAGCAUGCAGGGGAGGAUGGUGCGGCAGGAGGCUGCUGCAGUAGAAGGUGGCAGUGCCACUGUGGACUUUUAAAGGGACAACUCUGGGUACAAACCUGAAGUUUAAGGAGGGCAUAAAAUUAUAUACAUUUGAGUUUGUCUCCUUGAAAACUGGUUCUCUCUUUUUACUGCAUUAAAAAGAUCAAGUGGAUAGUUGAGUCAUUAAUUCAGGUAAUUCACAUUACAAAACUGCUUUUUUCCUGAGUGUCCUAAUCAUUGAUUUUUAAAAAUGAUAUUUCUUUGAUCAUAAAUUAUCUGCAUAAUGGCUUUGGUUCCAUAUUUCAUAUUAAGCUUGGGCUGAGUGAUGUUUAAAGCCUCCUGCUCACCCUCCUCCUGUUUCUUCCUAUUUUAUUUUACUUAAUACCUUAAAAAAAGAUGUAGAUUAAUUUUCUUCUGAUACCAUGAUGGUUUCAUAGAGUAAAACACUUUUUCUAGAUCUCUUUCAUUUGAACUUUUCCUGUUGAUAAAUCGCUGAAAAAAAAGAUCUACUUAAUUUAAAAGCAUUGCGAUGGGUCUUCCAGAGUUUUUACCUUACAUGUAGCUGCUCUAGGACUUACCAUCAACAUUUAUUUCCAAACCAAGGACUUGUUAAUCCCUUCCUUCAUAUUUUUGCAUCUGAGUCUGAAUUAGGUACGGGUUUUUCUCUUUGUUUUUUCAGUUAGAAAAACUUCAGUUGGUAGGAUGAGAAGGGACAUAUCUUACUCACUUUCAGUACAGUCCCAUUAACAGCAUUAAUGUGCCGUGUAUGAAUAUACUUAUGCAGAUUGGGGCCCACAAACUAGUAACAUUUUGGGCAAGAUAAUUUUAAGUAAAAAUUGAAGCUCUGAUGCUGCUCCUUUUUAAUUUUCUUUAAUAAUGAUCAGUUUCUUUUUAAAUUUCUUUAAUAAUGAUCAGUUAGAUGCAUCAUUUAUAUAACCCUGAGAAGCCUGGAAUUGACUUAUGAAAAUGUCGUAGGCCUGAUUAAAGUUAUCUUCAAGCUGAUACCAGUGUAAGCAUGUUUGCUUUAGAACACAUGGACUCUUAAGCUCCUAAUAGAUAAUUUUCUAGGUGAGCUAGUAUACUGUUUCUUGAAAUUAGUGGCCUAAAUCAGCCCUUCUAUCUCCAAGCCUGUCUAAUAAAGAUAAGUUUACAGCCGUCUUUUUGAAUAGAUGCAUGUCCUCUGCUGAACUGAAUUAUCUAAAUCAGUCCUGUUUAGUCUCCUCCCCUUCCAAGAAAGAUCCUUAUUUCAUACUGAAAGACUAGGUGAUUUGGGCCAUAUUUUAGGUUUUGUCAUUUGUUAAGGUCAAGUUCAGCAUUUGACUGUGGACAUCAUUUAGUAGAUGUUCCUUGGGAAGAGACUUAUUGGGAAGAGAAGUUUAUUCCAAUAGUCUCAUAAAAUCAGUGAAUGCUUCAAGUUAAUUUAUUAGCAGCCAGUGCUGAAUAAGCAAGGUACCACGUGUUAAAUAAGAAAGGUAACAGGUGGUGCUAGUGAAAAGUAUGUCAUCUAAGUUGGCUUUGAAAUCAAUUGUUGACCAGAUGAAUGUUUCAGUCAAAAAUUACGAUUCUUGUUUUUAAGAUGCAGUUUUAGCCACAUCUACAUUUUUUCAUCCACCAAAAAAAAUUUAAAUGGAUGAAUCUGUUUAGCUUUUAAUGCAGUGGAAAUACAUCUGGAUUUUUAUCUCUUGGCUCCCAGUGUUUGCUCUAUUGAUGUGAGCAGAGAUGAUUUUCACCUGACGUCUUUGUUGCCUGCCUGGAGAGUCCUUGCUCUUUCCAUUGACUGAGUUCUUCUAACUAGUUUCUUUUGUGUUCAUUGUUGUGCCUUAAACAGGAUCAUAAAGCUUUCAAAAAAAUUUUUUUUAGCUUGUUACCUCACGUGUCUGUGCUGGUCAAGAAGGAAGAGAAAAAAAUACCAAGGUUUUAUCAUUUGCAUUGCAUGUUUUUACAGCUUUGAAAACCCAUUUGUCAGUGAGGUUACUGGGAGGAUGAUUUCAGCUACUGGGUGCUCUGAGAGUUACUUCUUUAAUCUCUUCCCUCCCCAUUUCAAAAACAGUUUUUUUUGAUGGGGAAGAAAUUAUAUAUAUAUAUAUAUAUUUUUUUUUUUUGAUAUAUGAUUUCAAAGUUAAACUUUUAGUUGAUUUGUGAAAAACUAAAAGUUCUUUGCCUCAGGUUCUCAGUAACUUCUAAAAAAAAAUAGUAUACCUUGUUAAGAGGAUUUCCUGGUAUGUUCUUUGGACCGUUACCAAGUCUUUGGCACAUGAGGGUACUUCCUUGAUCAUCUAGCUAUUUCUGAUUUUUGAACCUGAGACAGCCAACAUUGGGUUGAUCCCUAGAUCAAUCUCACGAAUCUAACAGAUUAAUCUCUCUUUCACUUGUCCUGGUCAUUCCUGGUUGCUGUCCCAUUCUGUUCUUUUCCUUUUAUAUCUACUACACAUUGUCUGAAGAGGGCUUAUUCCCCUUGUCUUUCCUAUCCACCAGUCACCUUUCUCCUACAUCAGUGGUUUUUAACCCUGGCUGCAUUUUAGAAUCACCUGAAGAGCUUUCAAAACCACCAGUGUCUAGGUACCAUCCUAAGGCAGUUAGGUCAGAAUCUCUAGGUAUGAGGACUGGGCAUCUGUAUUUUUUAAGCUUCCCAGGUGGUGAUAAUGUAUAGCCAGAAUUGAGUAUCACUAUCUUAGAGAAAUUAGAUUUCGGCUGUGGAAGUUAUCAGCUAUUUUGGUAAUGACUUUUAGACCUGUUUCAGCCCUCUACUCCAUAGGAAGCUCCACAUGACAAGGAAUGCUAUAAAGUUGGAAUUAAAGAGGAAGGUUGGCUUCUAAGGACAAGAGCAUUAUUAUCACUUAACAAACUGUGUUUAACCUUCGGGCUCCUCCUCCUCUUUAGUAUAAAUGCAUGUGAUGUCUUUAGUUUCCAACUCCGACUCAUUUUUCUAGUCUCUACUGAACCUUAGUUAACUUACUUUGAAGUUUUCAGCAAUUUUAAAGAAGAGAUGGUGCUGUUUUAAGUCAUUGCAUGAGACUUAAAAACUGAGGUGCAUAAGCUUAGUAUUCUUUUGUGCAACCUAAUCUGAUAUACCAGCAGGUCCCACCAUAUCCUGAUGUUUUAAAGUAAUGGUUCUCCAAGUGAUUCCCUAGCACAGCAGUGUCAACAUCACCUAGGAACUUUCUGGGAAUGAAGAUUCUCAGGCUCACCCCACACAGACUAAAUCAGAAACUCUUUAACAAGCCUUAUAGGCGAUUAGAGGUUCUGAAACCUCAGCUUUUUAAGUCAUUUGCUAAGUCUGUAGAAUUAUUCUCGUAAUAGGAGUAAAUAAUCUAAUAUCUCAUGCCAUCUUGGCUUCAGAAUCCUGACAAGAAUGGAGGAAAAAAUGUGGUAUCUGAUGAAAUAUAACAAAGUUCUAGCCCCUUGAGUAUUUUGGACUUCCCACAGAUCUGUGUUGCUGUGUAGCCUUCUAUACAAGGCAAGGAUACUCACCUUUCAGGAUCACAACAAUAAAGAAUCCUCUCAGGUGUGCAGAGGAAACCAAAUGGGGUUCACCUUAGUGCAUGUAUUGUGUUCACAAAACUUAUGUUUAGGUUGGAUUCGUGGCUUUUUUUGUAUUUGUAUAUGAUCUUUUUCUCUUGUUUGUUUUGGUCUUUUGAGGACAUGCCUAGUUUUAAAACCAUCAGACAGGGGAGUAGUUGCACUGACUCAUCCCCAGACGGAUAUGGGACAUGUGAAAGAAAGAUAAGAUAAAAAUGUGCUGGGUGUAAUCAGUGUGAGAGUGUCAGUGCAGUGAAAGGGAGAGUGACAUGGCUCUUGUGAUGGAGUCAGGGGUAAGGCAGGACAUCCACUUUGGCUGAGGAUCCUAAAAGGCAUAUGACCUCUCCCACCACAGGUGGAGCCAGGUACAAAUCCAAACAAGUAUUGCUGUUUGUCAGUAUCAUUGGAUUCUGUAGUCCAUUAAGCAGGGCCUCAUGAUCAGCU